rnacentral:rRNA from 1 species
CGGCGAACGGGUGAGUAACACGUGGGUGAUCUGCCCUGCACUUCGGGAUAAGCCUGGGAAACUGGGUCUAAUACCGGAUAUGACCUCAGGUUGCAUGACUUGGGGUGGAAAGAUUUAUCGGUGCAGGAUGGGCCCGCGGCCUAUCAGCUUGUUGGUGGGGUAAUGGCCUACCAAGGCGACGACGGGUAGCCGACCUGAGAGGGUGACCGGCCACACUGGGACUGAGACACGGCCCAGACUCCUACGGGAGGCAGCAGUGGGGAAUAUUGCACAAUGGGCGAAAGCCUGAUGCAGCGACGCCGCGUGAGGGAUGACGGCCUUCGGGUUGUAAACCUCUUUCAGCAGGGACGAAGCGCAAGUGACGGUACCUGCAGAAGAAGCACCGGCUAACUACGUGCCAGCAGCCGCGGUAAUACGUAGGGUGCAAGCGUUGUCCGGAAUUACUGGGCGUAAAGAGUUCGUAGGCGGUUUGUCGCGUCGUUUGUGAAAACCAGCAGCUCAACUGCUGGCUUGCAGGCGAUACGGGCAGACUUGAGUACUGCAGGGGAGACUGGAAUUCCUGGUGUAGCGGUGAAAUGCGCAGAUAUCAGGAGGAACACCGGUGGCGAAGGCGGGUCUCUGGGCAGUAACUGACGCUGAGGAACGAAAGCGUGGGUAGCGAACAGGAUUAGAUACCCUGGUAGUCCACGCCGUAAACGGUGGGCGCUAGGUGUGGGUUCCUUCCACGGAAUCCGUGCCGUAGCUAACGCAUUAAGCGCCCCGCCUGGGGGAGUACGGCCGCAAGGCUAAAACUCAAGAA